GAUAAACUAGAGAUGACAGCAACAGAGCUGUUAGUGUGGGGUAUUGAAGACGGAAAGAAAUACCCUUGCAUCAUGGAAGAGAAAGAAGCUGACAACCAGACUGACUUUUUCACCUGUCAGAUACAAAGCACAUCCAGCUUUACAUUUCAGCACAUAGAGAUAAAGUAUGGUGGCCAGACAGUGCUGCUACGUAAUCUGCCUUUAGUUCAUCAGGUCCUUCUGAUAGUGCGUUUGAUGCUGAUACCUUGUGUCAUAGGUGUGUUAGUGUUUAUCUGUUGCUGGCAAAGGAGACGCACUGCUGAGAUGAACGAGCUCCGACCACAGAU